GAAUUUUACAGUAAUGUGCCAGACGGGCAAAGCGAAGCCAUUCAAUACGAAGUAUUGUAUAAAUAGAGAACAGCAG
rnacentral:sRNA from 1 species